rfam:Salinibacter ruber DSM 13855, complete genome.
GAGAGCCGAGGUACGCUGAAAGGUGUAUGCCCGGUUCGGGAAGGAGAGGUUGGAGACGGCCCCUCUCUGGGGGUAUCCGAAGGGAUUAAACGCGCCAACCUCUUACUUUCAC